UACGUAGGCAGCGAGCGCUGUUCGGAAUUACUGGGCGUAAAGAGUGUGUAGGCGGUGCUCUAAGUUCGGUGUGAAAUCUCCCGGCUUAACUGGGAGGGUGCGCCGGAAACUGGAAUGCUCGAACGUGGGAGAGGAAAGCGGAAUUCCUGGUGUAGCGGUGAAAUGCGUAGAUAUCAGGAGGAACACCUGAGGCGAAGGCGGCUAUCUGGCGGUACAUUGACGCUGAGGCGCGAAAGCGUGGGGAGCAAACAGG
rnacentral:rRNA from 1 species